rnacentral:rRNA from 1 species
GACGAACGCUGGCGGCGUGCUUAACACAUGCAAGUCGAACGGAAAGGCCCUGCUUUUGUGGGGUGCUCGAGUGGCGAACGGGUGAGUAACACGUGAGUAACCUGCCCUUGACUUUGGGAUAACUUCAGGAAACUGGGGCUAAUACCGGAUAGGAGCUCCUGCUGCAUGGUGGGGGUUGGAAAGUUUCGGCGGUUGGGGAUGGACUCGCGGCUUAUCAGCUUGUUGGUGGGGUAGUGGCUUACCAAGGCUUUGACGGGUAGCCGGCCUGAGAGGGUGACCGGCCACAUUGGGACUGAGAUACGGCCCAGACUCCUACGGGAGGGAGGAGUGGGGAAUAUUGCACAAUGGGCGGAAGCCUGAUGCAGCAACGCCGCGUGCGGGAUGACGGCCUUCGGGUUGUAAACCGCUUUCGCCUGUGACGAAGCGUGGGUGACGGUAAUGGGUAAAGAAGCACCGGCUAACUACGU